CAGCCGCCGCGGUAAUACAGAGGGGGCAAGCGUUGUCCGGAAUUACUGGGCGUACAGCGCGCGCAGGCGGACCGCGACGUGCCGUGUGACAAGCCACUGCUCACCAGUGGAGGGCCAUGGUACACGAGCGGUCUGGAGGCAGGGAGAGGGAUGUGGAAUGCCCGGUGGAGCGGUGAAAUGCGUAGAGAUCGGGCGGAACACCAGCGGCGAAGGCGGCAUCCUGGUCCUGUUCUGACGCUGAGGCGCGAGAGCGUGGGGAGCAAACUGG
rnacentral:rRNA from 1 species